UCACAAGGGUAGUUACUAUUUUUAGAACUAUAUAUAUAUAUAUAUAGUUCUAAAAAUAGUAACUACCCUUGUGA